AUACUUUCCUGGCAGGGGAGACACCAGGAUCAUGAAGGUGGUUCACCCAGGGUGAGGCUUAGCCAUUGCACUUAGGCUAUGCUGACCCGUGCAAAUUCCCCUAAAUGCAGGAAUCUCGACUGCAUAAUUUGUGGUAGUGGGGGGGCUGCAUUCUCGCUCUCCCCCA